GUCCAAUACUUUUCCUGGGAAAGUGCUCUUUUGCCUUUCGAAAAGUAAAAAACCAUAUUGUAAAUGCAUUAACAUUCCAGAUAUAAGCAAAUGCAAGAAGGUGUUGGAUGUUUGGGAGAAUUUCUUGAUAAGAGAAAUGAUGAUUGAAAUCUUGAAAUCCCCGUUAACUGAUAUAAGAGACUAAACAUUGUUUAGUACAAGAAGAUAAUAAAAGAGGGAGGAACAAAAUCUGCCAUAGAGUGAGUAAGCAACUACAUGCUGUCAGCUUGGAGAAAAUUCCCCUGUUCAUAGUCAGAGUGUAGCCCGAGAACACUUUCAUUACCACUUUCUUCUUCCACACAGCACACAGCACACAUCUAACCACUUCCAGCAUUAUUCUGAAAGGGGGAAAAAAGAUGUUCGCCAUUAUGCCAUUUUUAAUUAUCGUCCUGUCAUCAGACUACACCAAAGGUGAAAUAGAGCUGCGUGCUGUCAAACACCAGACAGUGAAUUGCAAUGAGAGGACUGUCUUACAAUGCAUUAUCAGCUCAUCAAUGCCAUUGAGCAUUGUUAAAGUAUACUGGAAAAAAACAGAAGACAAAGAUUUUGAAUGUGAUCCAACAUCCAGCAAUAGACCUCCAGGAUUUGAGUGCAACUACACAGGAGAAGCACUGACAUUAACCAUCUCAAAUCCUACACCAGCAAACAUGGGCUCGUAUUUUUGUUGUAUAAAGGCAGACUCUGGACAUGGAGCAAAAGAAAUCAAUGUAUCUAUAGGACAAUGCACCGGAGAAUUCUCCCACCAGAUGCCUGAACCCAAACAAAUGCAGUGUAGCUUUAAUGGUGUGUACCCAGAGGGCAUGAUAAACUGGUUUCAUUAUGACAAGAACCUGACUUCCAGCUCUACAGUCACAAGUCUGGUGAACUCUGAUGGAACGUUCAGCAUCACAAGUGUCCUAAACAUCCAGGACGAUCAAGAGAAAUAUAAAUGCUCACUGUGGUCUCUCAAACACGGAAAAUACCUUAAAGAUCAAGAGUUUGAAGUACCAGUUCAUGCUGAUUCCAGGCCCAUUAGCAGAGUCAGCACACAGCAUUGUUUGUCAUGGACUCUUAUCUUUCUUUGCCUGAUGUUUUGAUUGAAAGCCUGUUUGUCUCCAACUAUCUAAGACAUGGCCACAGGAUACAGUAGUGAACUGACAACUGACCCACAGCUUCUCUCUUACUGCAUUAUGACUAUUAAUUGCACUGACAUGAAAAACCCAAACUAUUUCAAACUGCAUUUUGCAAAUGUUCUCAAUUAAUCAAUCUCAAAUGAAUUUAAAGACUACUGAAUAUAAAAAUGAUGAAAAGCUUAGUUAUUUUAGUAUCAUUGAGACACUCUUGUCGUUUUUAUUAAAUAGUAUAUAUUAGUUUUGUGUGUGAAUGUUUUAUAUACUGUAGUUUUUAUUAAUGUAAUCUAUAUAAUUUGUAUUAUUUUUUAUUAUUAUUUUAAAGUUAUUUUAAUUCACAAAAGUAAAACAAAUGAAAAGUUUCCUCUAACUUAAAAAAAAACACUUUUAAAAAUCAGUUAUUAUAAUUUUGUUACUGUAUACUGUUAUCGUUUUGUUAUUAUUAUAAUUUUUUGGUUUGUUUGUUUUUGUUUUGUGUUUUUUCCAAUGACUGCUUUGGCUAUGUGCACUUAAGAUUUGUUCUAUUUUUUUAAAACUGCCGCUAAUAAAAUUUUGAUUGUUUAUGCA
ensembl:lncRNA